GACCUCGGAUCAGGUAGGAAUACCCGCUGAACUUAAGCAUAUCAAUAAGCGGAGGAAAAGAAACCGACAGGGAUUACCUCAGUAACGGCGAGUGAAGCGGUAAUAGCUCAAAUUUGAAAUCUGGCUCUUUCAGGGUCCGAGUUGUAAUUUGUAGAGGAUGUUUCGGGCACGGUUACGGUUUAAAUUUCUUGGAACAGAAUGUCAAAGAGGGUGAGAGUCCCGUCUUGAACCGAUUACUUCGUCCAUGUGAAACUCCUUCGACGAGUCGAGUUGUUUGGGAAUGCAGCUCAAAAUGGGUGGUAAAUUUCAUCUAAAGCUAAAUAUUGGCCAGAGACCGAUAGCGCACAAGUAGAGUGAUCGAAAGAUGAAAAGCACUUUGAAAAGAGAGUUAAACAGUAUGUGAAAUUGUUGAAAGGGAAGCGCUUGUAAUCAG
rnacentral:rRNA from 1 species